rnacentral:rRNA from 1 species
UUGACUGGGGGCGGUACAUCUCCAAAACGAUAACGGAGGUGUCCAAAGGUCAGCUCAGAGUGGACAGAAACCACCCGUUGAGCAUAAGGACAAAAGCUGGUUUGAUCCUAACGUUCAGUACACGCCGGGACAGCGAAAGCUUGGCCUUACGAUCCUUUUGGUAUAACGAGUUUUUAGCAAGAG